UAGCAUGCUUAUUGUAGUUAUGUCAUAACUCGUUAUUUUAUAAUUUUUUAAAUAUAUCAAUUGAUAAUAUUUGCUCUCGACUUUAUUUUGACGUUACAUUCUUGGACACACCAUUAAUUUAAUAGGUUGAAUGCUUUUUUCCGAAAAUCUUUUAUCAUUUAAAAAUCAAUGUUAUCAUGUCAGAAAUAUCUAUGGCGUUGAGAAUAGGCUAUACCAAUUACUAUGGAAAUGUCUUUUCAAUUGGAACCAAGACUGAAGACCUUACAAUUUUAUAUCAAGGUGUAAAUUAUAAAUAUAAAGCAUUAAUUUAAUAGGUUGAAUGCUUUUUUACUGAAAAUAUUUCAUCUUUUAAAAACCAAUGUUAUCAUGUAAAAUUGGUUUUGAGUAUGACAUAUCAAUUGCUAUGGAAAUGUCUUUCCAAUCGGACCCAAGACCUUACAAUUAUAUAUCAAGGUGUAAAUUAUAAGUAUAAAACAUUUAUUUCUAAUGUGACAUUUUUUCAUGUGAAUGUAUAAUAUCAACACUAAGCAAUUUGAAUGAAAAGUGUGUUGUGUUAACUUAAAAUAAUUAUUAAUGCAUGUAUUUGU